ACGCACGCUGGCGGCGUGCUUCACACAUGCAAGUCGCACGGAAAGGCCCUGCUUGCAGGGUACUCGAGUGGCGAACGGGUGAGUAACACGUGGGUGAUCUGCCCUGCACUUCGGGAUAAGCUUGGGAAACUGGGUCUAAUACCGGAUAGGAACCAUCUUUAGUGUGGUGGUUGGAAAGUUUUUUCGGUGUAGGAUGAGCUCGCGGCCUAUCAGCUUGUUGGUGGGGUAAUGGCCUACCAAGGCGGCGACGGGUAGCCGGCCUGAGAGGGUGUACGGCCACAUUGGGACUGAGAUACGGCCCAGACGCCUACGGGAGGCAGCAGUGGGGAAUAUUGCACAAUGGGCGCAAGCCUGAUGCAGCGACGCCGCGGGGGGGAUGAAGGCCUUCGGGUUGUAAACUCCUUUCGCUAGGGACGAAGCUUUUUGUGACGGUACCUAGAUAAGAAGCACCGGCUAACUACGUG
rnacentral:rRNA from 1 species